rnacentral:rRNA from 1 species
GAGUUUGAUCCUGGCUCAGAUUGAACGCUGGCGGCAUGCCUUACACAUGCAAGUCGAACGGCAGCACGGGAGCUUGCUCCUGGUGGCGAGUGGCGAACGGGUGAGUAAUGCAUCGGAACGUAUCCUGGAGUGGGGGAUAACGUAGCGAAAGUUACGCUAAUACCGCAUAUUCUGUGAGCAGGAAAGCGGGGGACCUUCGGGCCUCGCGCUCUUGGAGCGGCCGAUGUCGGAUUAGCUAGUCGGUGAGGUAAAGGCUCACCAAGGCGACGAUCCGUAGCAGGUCUGAGAGGAUGAUCUGCCACACUGGAACUGAGACACGGUCCAGACUCCUACGGGAGGCAGCAGUGGGGAAUUUUGGACAAUGGGGGCAACCCUGAUCCAGCCAUGCCGCGUGAGUGAAGAAGGCCU